rnacentral:rRNA from 1 species
GACGAACGCUGGCGGCGUGCUUAACACAUGCAAGUCGAACGGAAAGGCCCCUUUGGGGGUACUCGAGUGGCGAACGGGUGAGUAACACGUGAGUAACCUGCCCUUGACUUCGGGAUAACUUCAGGAAACUGGGGCUAAUACCGGUAAGGAAUCCUUGCUGCAUGGGGGGGGUUGGAAAGCUUCGGCGGUUUUGGAUGGACUCGCGGCUUAUCAGCUUGUUGGUGGGGUAGUGGCUUACCAAGGCUUUGACGGGUAGCCGGCCUGUGAGGGCGACCGGCCACAUUGGGACUGAGAUACGGCCCAGACUCCUACGGGAGGCAGCAGUGGGGAAGAUUGAACAAUGGGCGGAAGCCUGAUGCAGCAACGCCGCGUGCGGGAUGACGGCCUUCGGGUUGUAAACCGCUUUCAGCAGGGGCGAAGCUUGUGGUGACGGUACCUGCAGAAGAAGCACCGGCUAACUACGUG